rnacentral:rRNA from 1 species
GACGAACGCUGGCGGCGUGCCUAAUACUUGCAAGUCGAACGCAGUGGGGACGGGUGAGUAACACGUGGGUAACCUCCCAUCAGAGGGGAUAACACUUGGAAACAGGUGCUAAACCGAUACUGAUGGAUGGACCCGCGGGGCAUUAGCUAGUUGGGUGGGUAACGGCUCACCAAGGCCACGAUGCAUAGCCGACCUGAGAGGGUGAUCGGCCACACUGGGACUGAGACACGGCCCAGACUCCUACGGGAGGCAGCAGUAGGGAAUAUUGCACAAUGGGCGCAAGCCUGAUGCAGCCAUGCCGCGUGUAUGAAGAAGGCCUUCGGGUUGUAAAGUACUUUCAGCGGGGAGGCGUUACCCGCAGAAGAAGCACCGGCUAACUACGUGCCAGCAGCCGCGGUAAUAC